UUCUUUGGGGCGGGGUGAAAUUCCCCAUCGGCAGUAUAGUCUGCGAGCCUGUUUAAGCAGGUUGAUUCGGUCAGAUUCCGAAACCGACGGUCAAAGUCCGGAUGGAAAAAGA
rnacentral:ncRNA from 1 species